UGGGGAAUAUUGGACAAUGGGCGCAAGCCUGAUCCAGCCAUGCCGCGUGAGUGAUGAAGGCCUUAGGGUUGUAAAGCUCUUUCGACGGGGACGAUAAUGACGGUACCCGUAGAAGAAGCCCCGGCUAACUUCGUGCCAGCAGCCGCGGUAAUACGAAGGGGGCUAGCGUUGCUCGGAAUCACUGGGCGUAAAGGGCGCGUAGGCGGACGUUUAAGUCAGAGGUGAAAGCCCAGGGCUCAACCCUGGAAUGGCCUUUGAUACUGGACGUCUUGAGUCUGGUAGAGGUUGGUGGAACUGCGAGUGUAGAGGUGAAAUUCGUAGAUAUUCGCAAGAACACCGGUGGCGAAGGCGGCCAACUGGACCAGAACUGACGCUGAGGCGCGAAAGCGUGGGGAGCAAACAGGAUUAGAUACCCUGGUAGUCCACGCCGUAAACGAUGGAUGCUAGCCGUUGGCCGGUUUACCGGUCAGUGGCGCAGCUAACGCGUUAAGCAUCCCGCCUGGGGAGUACGGCCGCAAGGUU
rnacentral:rRNA from 1 species